CCUUUGUACGUGUAAUCUUGCAGAGCCGGACGUGUCCUUUGUACGUGUAAUCCUUGCAGAGCCGGACGUGUCCUUUGUACGUGUAAUCUUGCAGAGCGGACGUGUCCUUUGUACUUGUAUUCUUGCAGAGCCGGACGUGUCCUUUGUACGUGUAAUCUUGCAGAGCCGGACGUGUCCUUUGUACGUGUAAUCUGGCAGAGCCGGACGUGUCCUUUGUACGUGUAAUCUUGCAGAGCCGACGUGUCCUUUGUACGUGUAACUGGCAGAGCGGACGGGUCCUUUGUAGUGUAAUCUUGCAGAGCCGGACGUGUCCUUGUUCUGAAUCUUGCAGAGCCGACGUGUAUCUCAGUAGUAUCUAACCCAGGCAUUAUCUGAUAACACAUGACUAAUGAAAACUGAAGGGUUUUGUGAGCUAGUAGAUAAUAGUCCCUGUUUUACCAAUCAUAUAGUAACGGUUUCCUCUAUCAUAAGAAUGCCAAAUAGGCAUUCAAUAUUCCUCUGAACACCACUCGGCUGGCUGAUGCUCUGCAGAUAAAUGAGUCCCUGCACAGGAGGUGGCGUCUCUCAGACGGAGGCUGGGGCUGCGGAGGAGCGGGCCUCCCUGAUGGAGAGUGACGGACGCCUGCCAGGGCUCGCAUAGCAGCACUGGAGACUGAGCGGGAGGACUGCUUCAACAAGGAACCUGCCACAGGGAGACGACACCCCUCAGCCUUUGGGAGCGCUUGGGAAACGGAUGUGGAAGAUUCCAAAAAGUCGGAGGAGUUGAGGGAGGAGAGUGCCGCGUAUGAGAUGGAGGAAGAUGAGGAGGAGAGGGUACAAGGGAAGGAUGUGUCUGUGGACUUAAGACUUAAGAACCGUGAGGUGCCGCUCUCUAAGCCUGGCCUACAGAUGAAGGAAGAGAACCAGAACGGAGAGAAGGGGCUGGGAUUGGUCGAUCGCUGGAAUCCAUGGCAGCACGAGCCAAUAGAAGCCAAUCAAAUGACGGCGCUGGUCAUAGAGCUGCAGCAGCUGAGAACGGCCUGUGAAGAGACAUCAUCAACACUACCGGUCUCCCCCAAGGACCAGAGGGCCAGAGAGUGGUUGUAAAAGAGCUGCUCUGCUCAAGGACUGUGUGGGAGAGAUGGAGAAGGAUAGGGAGGGGCUGGCUUUCCUGGAGAGAGACUGUGGAGUUCUUCGGGUGGUACCUCCAGGAUCAUUGGCCAGAAGUAACCCACUAUACAUUCACAUUGAUCCUUGACUAUGUAGGCCCACAUUUCCAUAUUCUCCACAAUCGUCGACGCUUUCUUUGACAAAAACACGUCUGUUUGCGUAUGCAAUAAAUGAUGUCUGAAUCAAGACCGCGGGAAGCGAUCCGCUGAGGCCCUGCGUAUUAAAUUGUGUUCUCAAGUACGUCCUCAAGAACUCCUUUUUAAUGUUUACCUGACAUCACCCGCAUUGUGGACUGUGUUACAGCAUUUGGUUUGUCAGUUUAAAAUAAAUAUUGGACUGGCUCAAAUACAACUCCACUAUCCCUAGGCCUUUACGGGUAUACCAGUUGGACAGAAAAAUACCCCUCAAGGAUCUCACCGCCUCAUAUCUUUGUGUUAUGCAUGUACACAAGCUUAGUUGGAGAAAGGCAGGUGUUUUUCAGGCUCCAUUGUAUAGGCUAACCUGUCAAAACAUAUUCCAAAGAUUACACAAUUUACAGUUGGCCUGCAUGUACAUUUUGUCUAAACAGCAAACAAAUAUUUACUGUGGCUGGGUGUGUGGAGGAAUUAGUCACUUCCUUGAAUGGGUCUUGCUCAAUGUUAGACCGACUGGUCAUUGCAUACUGUGUGGUUUGCUCUUGUGACCGGUUUGAUACUCCUCCCUCACAGUACAGGAUGUGAUUUCCUGCAUACAUUCAUCAUCCGAGUCUGACUUGCCAGUACAUGACAGCUAGCAAAUGUAAAUGAUGGCGGUGUGCCCUUUUGUGGACAGGUUAUUAAUGUUUUCUUUUUUCUUAAUCAAUGCGAAUUCUUAAUCAAUACAGUUAGAUUACUUAUUUAUUUCACAUAAAAUAAGAAUAGAGUAGAUAGAGUAGUCAUCAACCAAGGACGUUAUC
rnacentral:lncRNA from 1 species